rnacentral:rRNA from 1 species
UGGGGAAUUUUGGACAAUGGGCGCAAGCCUGAUCCAGCCAUUCCGCGUGCAGGAUGAAGGCCCUCGGGUUGUAAACUGCUUUUGGACGGAACGAAAAGGCCUUUUCUAAUACAGAGGGCUCAUGACGGUACCGUCAGAAUAAGCACCGGCUAACUACGUGCCAGCAGCCGCGGUAAUACGUAGGGUGCAAGCGUUAAUCGGAAUUACUGGGCGUAAAGCGUGCGCAGGCGGUUAUGUAAGACAGGUGUGAAAUCCCCGGGCUUAACCUGGGAACUGCAUUUGUGACUGCAUAGCUAGAGUACGGUAGAGGGGGAUGGAAUUCCGCGUGUAGCAGUGAAAUGCGUAGAUAUGCGGAGGAACACCGAUGGCGAAGGCAAUCCCCUGGACCUGUACUGACGCUCAUGCACGAAAGCGUGGGGAGCAAACAGGAUUAGAUACCCCCGUAGUCC